rnacentral:tRNA from 1 species
GUCAGGGUGACCGAGCGGUCUAUGGCGCUGCGUUCAGGUUGCAGUCUACUCUGGAGGCGUGAGUUCGAAUCCCACUUCUGACA